UCAUAGGUGUGACCUUGGCCAGUUCCUGUCCUGUCCCUAGACCCCAAAUACAUAACAUCUGUAGGCACUACACAUAUAGUUGUUAAAAUGCCUUGAUCUGGAACAUGGUGAGAGAUUAUUCACAUCCCCUUCCAUCCCUGACUGGUCUCUUUAGGUCCCUCUAAACAGCAGCUGCACCCAGUCCGCUCAUCCCCAGCAGGCCUGGCCCUUUGGAGAAGAAGAUGGGACCAGAUGAGCUGACCGUCUUGUGGGCCAGCCGAAGCCUGGGGACUGGCUGUGUCACCAGAGGUGUCAUUUCCCAGCUGUCUGGGGAAGACUGAGAUGAUGGAGGUUUCUACAUUCACCUGCGUUUGAUAGCCAGAUCUCUGGCCCCCACUGCCAGGGCUCUUCAAAAGGGGGGGGGGGGGGGGGGACAAGUUCAUUUCUAACAAGCACCUAUGGUGAUUCUGAUGUAGGCGGCACAGAGAAAAACUUUAAUAAAGGCUUUCUUUUAUUGCGGUU